AUCCGAAUGACGAGUCUCAAAUAGGAAGAAAUGCGCAUCUUGGAU
rnacentral:hammerhead_ribozyme from 1 species